rnacentral:rRNA from 1 species
GUCUCCAGCCAUACCACCCUGAAUGUGCCUGACCUCAUCUGAUCUCAGAAGCUAAGCAGGGUCGGGUGGUUAGUACUUGGAUGGAAGACUACCUGGGAGUACCGAGUGCUGUAGGCU